rnacentral:rRNA from 1 species
GACGUAGGGCGCGAGCGUUGUCCGGAUUUAUUGGGCGUAAAGAGCUCGUAGGCGGCUUGUCGCGUCGGCUGUGAAAACCCGCGGCUCAACUGUGGGCGGGCAGCUGAUACGGGCAGGCUGGAGUUCGGUAGGGGAGACUGGAAUUCCUGGUGUAGCGGUGAAAUGCGCAGAUAUCCGGAGGAACACCGGUGGCGAAGGCGGCUUCCUGGACCGACACUGACGCUGAGGCGCGAAAGCUAGGGGAGCAAACGGG